UUAAAUCCUCCGUUGAAGAAGGAAAUUUAAGUAAAAGCGAUGAUGUGUAAGGCCUUCUUGCUGAUUGCUGAGGUUUUACUGCGAUUUAUUGCAUACCAAUGUCACGCGGGGAAUCAUAGGAGCAACAGAGUCGAAGCAUUCGGAUCCUACCGCACGACCUAGCCCCGAUGGUCGGACCUAUGAUGGCCCACUGCUAACCGACCAAGAGUCGGUCCCGAGUCACCGUAAAAAAAGUUAGACAUAACGUUCAACUGGGCGGCUUCUUCAUCGCUGCGAGUCGUGUUCAGUUGUGUGGGCCGCUUUUUUCAUCGCUACGAGUCGUGUUCAGUUCCCUGCGUGGCCAUAGCAACUAACCUGCAGGAGCCCUAAAGAAUCAUAGCAACCGCCUGCGCUCCUACCCCUUGCAAUGGACCUAGAGGACGACCAAGCCACUGGAUUCCCCAUCGUUGGUAGUUCCGCCAUGUGAGAAAUUCCUCUAUAGUUGCGCUUCCUCCAUCGUUACAAUAGCCAUUAUCACCAGGUCCACCUCUCUCCUCAUAGUUUUUAUGUUUGUACUUUCUCCUACAAAGAUGCUUCUCCGUUUUCUCUCUCUAAAAAUACCAAGACCCAAUUCCUUACUUUUCUAUCACUUCCACUCACGAACCCAAAUCCCUAACAAGGUAGACCUUAUCUUCUCAAAGCUAAAAGAAAAUAUGGGUUUCACUUCCAUUGAAAAACAAUCCAUUCUAACCAAUUUGAGCAUGGUGGAUGCACAAAGAAUAUUGUUGAGGUCCCAGUCAAACCCAUCAAUGGCUCUCAACUUCUUCAACUGUAUCAGAACAGAGCCCAGCCUAAAACCGAGUCCGAAAAAUUACUGCGUAAUCAUUCAUAUUCUCACCUGGUCAAGAUCUUUCUCACAAGCAAUGGAAUUGAUCAUUGAAUUGAUAAAAACCCAUGAAUGCCAAGUGUUUGAAAAUUUGAUUCAAUCAAUGGAUGAAUGUAAUUGGAACCCAGUUGUUCUUGAUAUGCUUAUCAAGUGCUAUGUUCAGUUGGGAAGGAUCGAUGAAGGAUUAGAGAGUUUUAAGAAAGUGAUAGGCUUUGGCUUGGUUCCAAGUAUCAAUGCAUGCAAUUCUUUGUUAAAUGGCUUGUUGAGAUCAAAUGCAAUCAACACUUGUUGGGACAUCUAUGAAGAGAUGGGCAGAGUUGGGAUUCCUCCCAAUUCUUACACAUUGAACAUAUUGACUCAUGCUUUAUGUAGAAAAGGAGAUUUUGAUAGAGUCACUGAAUUUUUAGAGAGAAUGGAGGAGAGAGAAGGGCUAGACCUUGAUUUAGUUACAUACAAUACACUUAUAGAUGGCUAUUGCAAGAGAGACAAACUCGGAGAUGCUCUUUAUCUCUACAAGAUCAUGUAUAGGAGGGGAGUUGCACCCAACCUAGUUUCUUACACUAUCUUGAUCACUGGUUUGUGUAAGGAACAUAGAGUUAGGAAGGCUCAUCAGCUGUUUCAUAGAAUGGUUCACAGAGGAAUAGCUCCUGAUAAAUUUAUAUAUAAUUCGCUUAUAUGUGGGUAUUGCAAGGAGGGGGAGAUGAAGAAAUCGAGGGCCUUAUUGAACGAAAUGAUUCAUUCAGGUUUAGAGCCUGAUGACUUCACUUGCAGGUCUUUUAUUGAAGGGUAUAAGAGGGGAAAGAAACUGAUUUCGGCUUUGAAAUUGGUUCUAUGGCUUCGGAAGCUAUGUGUUCCGAUCUCUAGUGAAAUCGAUACUUCUCUUAUGGCUUCAUUAUGCAUAUAUAACAGGCCCAAUGUUGCUAAAAGCUUUCUUAGAAGAAUAAUUGAAGAUGGGUUUGAACCUGGUUUACCAAUCUACAACUUUUUAAUCAAAAGUUUGUGUGAAAAUAAUUACGUCACAGAGGCAGUUGUUGUGAGAGAGGAGAUGAUGGGUAGAGGUAUAAAACCUGAUUUUUAUACUUACCAAACACUGAUAUGUAGCUUGUGUAAGGGAGGAAGACUCUUAGAGGGAGAAGAAUUGAUGAGAGAGAUGGUUGAAUCUGGUCUGGUUCCUAGCUCCAUGAUAUGUGGAGCCUUGGUUAGUGGGUAUUGCAAGAGUAGAGAAUUGGAUAAGGCAGAAAUGGUUUUGUGCUACUUUUCAGGGAAUUUUCAGAUGCCUAGCGUGGAAAGUUACAAUGAGAUUAUAGGAGCGCAUAUUAAAAAUAAGGAUGUUAAAAAGGCUUUCCAAAUGCAUGAUGAGAUGUUGAAAUUGGGGUUGAUACCAAACUGUCAGUCAUGCAAACUUUUGAUAACUGGCCUAUCCAGCAGAAAAAGGUAACCGAACCAAACCUAUCCUAUUCACUCAUCAUACAUGUUUAAAUCUUUCAUUUAAGAAACUCAAUAAGGAAAUUGGAAAUCUGAAUGCUUCAUAAUGAGCAUACUUGUUGUUGGACUACUGUGGAUCUUAAUCAAGGGUUAUGUUAGUCAAUUCUCUGAUGUAGAGAUGUGAAUAAAGGGAAUGUGCACCCUCAUCGUGACUCUGUCUAAUUCCUCCACAUCAAAGUUAUUGCUCAUAAGACAUUUAUGAGUAGGAAGUUUAGGGUUCAAGUUUGGGCUUGAUUAGCUAAGGCUACAUCCCAAGUUUGAAUCUUACCUUUGAACUACCCAAUUGAUAUCACACAAAAGAGCAACAACAUAUAUCCCUAUAACCACCUUAAUGACGUCCCUACAACCACCUUAAUGAGGAGAGACUUAUGGGACAAAUUACCCAUUAGCCAAUUUAUUGGCUUAGACAUUAAUCUCCCUAGCCAUAUGGUGUAAAGUGAUAGGCUUGAAGCAUCCUAGAUCAAUGAUCUCAUCGACAAUCAUGAGAAGACCACCCACUUGCCCACAUAUGACAUUGCAUCUACAUCUCAUGAACACGGGUACAUAUGUCAGAGGCAUGAGGCAUCGGAUUUCUCAUGCCAAGGAAAAGAGGUGAAAGUCGGGACACCCAUUUCCCCCUUUUCACUGUUCCUCUUAAGAAGUUGUCUGCGCAUGGGAUGGGGGGUGCGAGAGUUUUCACUGAAAACUUGCGUGCUAUUUUCACCUUGUCAAAACCCUAGUGAGGCACUCUUCUUUCCCCUCUCCGCAAUCUCCCUCUUCUUCGAGCCUCCCUUCCCUCCAUUCUCUCUCUCUCACCCUCUGCGAACAAGAGCUAGAAGAACCUGUGCGAGCAAGAGCAAUCCCUGAGUGAGCAAGAGCACCAACCUCUCAAUCAGUCAUGCUCAGGGAGAUGAAACCAGGCAUUCUCUCUCAGGAGCUAAAGGAAGCUCUUGGUAUGCCUGAAGGUGCACCACCUCCUU